CAAGAAUGUGAGCUACUGAGUAAUCCCUAAGCUAAAUGUUGGUCAUCUCUCCAAUUCUCUAUGCCAAAUCACCUCUUUUUUUCUCCUUUGUUCUCUCCUCUCUUCUUCAUUUCUCCACCUUCUAUCCUCUUAUUACCUUUCCUAUUCUGCUCCCUUUCUUCCUUCUCAUAUUCCCCAUUUGUACCUAUACUAGAAAUAUUACUGUGGCUCUAUAAAGGAUUUCUCAGCCUCAGCACAUGAAGAAGCCUGUUCAUCUUCAAAUCAAGGGCAAAACCCUAGGCAAUUGGGAAAAUGCUUCAUCAACCACCCAACCAACAGUUGAAGAUAUUUAUGAUAAAACCAGAAGAAUGAAGGAACAGAUGGGAUUCUCUCAGCCUUUCCUGACAAGAGAAAAGAACCACUGUAAAAAGUGUAAAAGAACCACCAGAAGUAGAGAAGAAACCUGGGUUCUACUGGAAACAGUCAGCAGUCUUCACUGGGAUUGAGAUACAGGAACCAUAUUUUUUCACUUGGGGUGGGGGGGAAUAGUAGAAGGCGCAGAGUAUAGAAGUAUACACAGAAAGCCAUUUGACUUGGAGUAUCGUCACACCUGAGGACUCCUUGUCCAUCUUCUAGAAGCGAAUAGACCCAUUGUUACCUUUUCUGGCAUUCUUCAGUGUGGAUGCAGAGCCUCUGGCCAUUAUUGGGAGGAGAUACUAAACAACUCCAAUAUCCCAUUUGGUGAGUGGGACUCCAGGCAUCUUACCCUAGCUAUGGGCCUUUUAGAAUAUUCAUGAAAGUAAUAGAUGAUUUGUUCUGUAACUUAUGUUACUUUCUCUUUUUCUGAGGAGCAAGUGAAUAGCAGUGAACCAAGUCCUCAGACUUGUCUCUGGGAAAGUUUUUCCUUCCUGGUCUUCAAGCUUAGAGUCCCCAGGAAUCCCAGUUGCUGGAUCAAAAGAUGACCUAGGGGUGCCUGAUUGAGUUUCUUUGAAACUUUCCCUCUCAAGGCAUUCUAACUGUCUAAAAUAAAAGAAGCCUCUUAGGUUAGUCCUGGCUCUGA
rnacentral:lncRNA from 1 species